rnacentral:misc_RNA from 1 species
AAAAAAAAAAAGGAACAGUCCAGCUAUCCUAAAUUCCGAUACUGCCUGACAAUCCAGGCUGGCAGAAAUAGAACCGGAAGAGAUUCUAUGUCCUCAGGAAGUCUGCAAGCACAAUUAAUUACUCCUUCAACGUAAUUUCUUUACAAAACACAUGCUACACUCCAAAUGCAUUUUGCUAUCCAAAAACUGCUUUAGCCUAAGGCUGGGCAGACUGUAACAUGAUUAAGCUUGACAACUGACAUAAAGAGGAAACAACUUGGCUGGUUUAGAUAAAGUAGAUGCCAUCAUUCAAAAGAAAAGAAUAAAAAAAAAACUGUAAGCAAAGACGGGUUGUACAAUUGUGCAUGGCAAAGCAAAGAAUAUAGGAAGAGAUAGAAGACUUGUGUAAUCGUAGCAUCGUACCCGGAG